UGUGUAUCAGUACAUGGCAUAUCAAUAAGCGGAGGAAAAGAAACUAACAAGGAUUCCCCUAGUAACGGCGAGUGAAGCGGGAAGAGCUCAAAUUUGAAAUCUUAAAGGGUUUCCCUUUACGAAUUGUAGUUUAAAGAAGUGUUUUCUGUUGGAGUUUCGGUAAAAGUUCUUUGGAAUAGGACAUCAUAGAGGGUGAGAAUCCCGUAUUUGACCGUUACUUUCCAGCUGUGUGAUACACUUUCAAAGAGUCGGAUUGUUUGGGAACGCAGUCCAAGAUGGGUGGUAAAUUUCAUCUAAAGCUAAAUAUUGGCGAGAGACCGAUAGCGAACAAGUACCGUGAGGGAAAGAUGAAAAGAACUUUGAAAAGAGAGUUAAACAGUACGUGAAAUUGUCAAAAGGGAAGCGUUUGACACCAGUGUUGUUUAGUUGAAAAUCAAUUCAAUAGUUUUUGAUUCUAAGUAGUAUUGACUUCAUCAGCUUGCUGCCUUCUUCUCAGAAAUUAUUGAAUGCACUUUUCAGUUAACAAGUCAACAUCAAUUUCUUUUGUUGUAAAAGGGUAAGAGGAAGGUGGCUUGCGCUUCGGCUCAAGUGUUUAUAGCCUUUUAUCUCUGCAAUCGGAGAGAUUGAGGUCUGCAGCGUAGAUCCUUCGGGGUUAGAUACAUUGGUGCUAAGCUAUAGCCUUGUAUAGACAACCUGUUGACUAUGCUCAGUCAUGUAGCUUACUCGCUGAUGCUAUUUUACCUACGCUUAGGAUGUUGACAGCAGUAUAGACUGU
rnacentral:rRNA from 1 species